rnacentral:rRNA from 1 species
UACAGAGGGUGCGAGCGUUAAUCGGCAUUACUGGGCGUAAAGCGUGCGUAGACGGUAGCGUAAGUCAGAUGUGAAAGCCCCGGGCUCAACCUGGGAAUUGCAUUUGAGACUGCUCUGCUCGGGUGCGGAAGAGGGAAGCGGAAUUUCCGGUGUAGCGGUGAAAUGCGUAGAUAUUGGGAAGAACACCGGUGGCGAAGGCGGCUCUCUGGACCGUAACUGACGCUGAGGCGCGACAGCGUGGGGGGCAAACAGG